GUGGGGAGGUUCCCCCUCUACAGAGCUGUGGGGGGGUUCCACCUCUACAGAGCUGUGGGGAGGUUCCCCCUCUACAGAGCUGUGGGGGGGGUUCCACCUCUACAGAGCUGUGGGGAGGUUCCCCCUCUACAGAGCUGUGGGGAGGUUCCACCUCUACAGAGCUGUGGGGGGGUUCCCCCUCUACAGAGCUGUGGGGAGGUUCCCCCUGUACCUCCACCAAGACAUCACCGGAAGAGGCAUCAUGAUGAGGAUCAUGCCUACCAAAAACUCCUCAAGAUGGACACUGAGCGAGCACACCAGCAAAUUCUACUUGCUAAGGAACAAAUAAAACUCACCAUGCUUCAGCAAGAACACAUCAAGUUAACAAUACAAUUACUGGAAAAGCAAAUGGAAAAGUAGUGUGAAAACUUUAGGUUUAGGUGUUACAAUUUUGGGUUGAGGAAAUUUUUAUUGUUGUUUGAAUUAUUACUUUUCUGACAAUUGUGAAAUUUGGAUUUUUUCUGUUCAAUUAAAAAAACUGUACAUGAAGAGGUUUAAUUUAUUAAAAAUAUCUUUUUAUACUAA